rnacentral:rRNA from 1 species
CUUUCGGGAUUAUUGUGAUGAUUCAUAAUAACUGAUCGGAUCAAGGUGUACCUUGAUAGAUCAUUCAAGUUUCUGCCCUAUCAGCUUUCGAUGGUAGUGUAUUGGACUACCAUGGCAGUCACGGGUAACGGAGAAUUAGGGUUCGAUUCCGGAGAGGGAGCCUGAGAAACGGCUACCACAUCUACGGAAGGCAGCAGGCGCGUAAAUUACCCAAUCCUGAUUCAGGGAGGUAGUGACAAGAAAUAACAACUCGGGGCCUCACGGCUUACGAGAUUGCAAUGAGAACAAUUUAAAUCUCUUAGCGAGGAACAAUUGGAGGGCAAGUCUGGUGCCAGCAGCCGCGGUAAUUCCAGCUCCAAUAGCGUAUAUUAAAGUUGUUGCAGUUAAAAAGCUCGUAGUUGAAUUUCUGAUUAUGGAUGUAGCGGUUUCCGUUACAUUUGUAGUCAUCCACAUGAGAACCUUUCUCGGCCUUCACUGGUCGGUUGGGGGAUCAUGUACUUUACUUUG